CAGAGGUGGCAAGCGUUGUUCGGAAUUACUGGGCGUAAAGGGCGCGUAGGCGGCCUUCUAAGUCAGACGUGAAAUCCCCCGGCUUAACCUGGGAACUGCGUCUGAUACUGGAAGGCUUGAGUUUGGGAGAGGGAUGCAGAAUUCCAGGUGUAGCGGUGAAAUGCGUAGAUAUCUGGAGGAAUACCGGUGGCGAAGGCGGCAUCCUGGACCAACACUGACGCUGAGGCGCGAAAGCUAGGGGAGCAAACGGGAUUAGAUACCCCGGUAGUCCUAGCCCUAAACGAUGAAUGCUUGGUGUGGCGGGUAUCGAUCCCUGCCGUGCCGAAGCUAACGCAUUAAGCAUUCCGCCUGGGGAUACGGUCGCAAGGCUG
rnacentral:rRNA from 1 species